CGGACGGGUGAGGAAUACAUAGGAAUUUGCCUUUAGGUGGGGGAUAGCCCGGGGAAACUCGGAGUAAUACCGCAUGAUGUCGAAAGACCAAAGCCGGGGACCGCAAGGCCUGGCGCCUUUAGAGAAGCCUAUGUCCGAUUAGCUAGUUGGUGAGGUAAAGGCUUACCAAGGCGACGAUCGGUAGCUGGUCUGAGAGGAUGAUCAGCCACACUGGGACUGAGACACGGCCCAG
rnacentral:rRNA from 1 species